GGAAGGCCCAAAAUCUUCGGCCGAAAAGAAUCAGUUGUGUUGUGCGUGUGUGCCGAACUAGAGAGGUUGAUUAGCAGAAACUAGAGUGUAGGCUGAAGCUCAAGCGUCAAUGGCGUCUCGGUCACUCUUGCGCACUCUCAGACGGAGCAGCGGUGUCAGCAGUGUUAGUCUUGGUGUUGGUAGAUUGUUGUCGUCAGGAGGAGCAGGUGCUGUGAAUGCUGAGUUUGUCCAAGAUUCUGAGGAAAGUGACAACCUGAAGAGCAGAGUCUUCAAGCUCAGGCAGCCCAAGCGAAGCGCCACCAACGUUCUUCAGAGAUGGGUCUCUGAAGGCAACCCAAUUUCCAUUUCGGACCUCCGCCAGAUAUCGAAGGACCUCAGCAAGUCUCACCGUUACAAGCACGCCCUCGAGAUAUCCGAGUGGAUGGUCAGCCAUAAUGAAUUUGAGCUAUCAGAUUCUGACUAUGCAGUCCGCAUUGUCUUGAUGACAAAAGUUUUUGGCAUCGAUGCUGCGGAACGAUACUUUGAAGGUCUACCUCUUACUGCAAAAACAAGUGAAACCUGUACUGCUCUCCUCCACUCAUAUGCUGGGGCAAAAUUGACUGAAAAGGCUGAGAACCUCUAUGAGAGGAUAAAGGAAUCUCACCUGUCCCUGAGUGCCCUUACAUACAAUGAGAUGAUGACUAUGUACAUGUCAGUGGGGCAAGUAGAGAAGGUCUCUAUAGUUGUGGAAGAUCUGAAAUGCCACAAGGUUGCACCGGAUAUCUUCACAUACAAUCUUUGGAUUAGUUCAUGUGCUGCAACUCUAAAGAUUGAUCAACUUCGACAGAUUUUAGAUGAAAUGAGACAUGAUCCUGGUUUUGGCGAAGGAUGGGAGAGAUACAUUAACCUGGCAAAUAUAUAUGUUAGCGUUGGGCAUCUUGUGAAUGCAGAGUCCAGCACUCUAGUAGUUGAAGCUGAGAAAGUAAUCACACAAAGAGAAUGGAUCACGUAUGACUUCCUUAUUAUUCUGCAUGCUGGUUUAGGAAAUAAGGAAAGGAUUGAUCAGAUAUGGAAAUCCUUGAUAAUGACUGGGCAAAAGAUGACAAGUAGAAACUAUAUUUGCAUUCUUUCUUCAUACCUAAUGCUUGGCCACUUAAAAGAAGUAGGAGAAGUUAUUGAUCGGUGGAGGCAAUCAACUACUACAGAUUUUUCUGUUACUGCCUGCAGUAGGGUUUUCAAAGCUUUCACAGACAUUGGGUUGACUGAAAAGGCCCACAACUUCGAGAUGCUUCUGAUUCAGAAGAACUGUGAUCCUGCAAAUUCGUUAGAGUAGGAAAAAAAAGAGUUUUGGUGGAGAUAGUGGAACGUAUAUGCAACAAUUUAUGAUGUCUGGAUCAUUUUAUCAAAUGACUGAAUUCUUUCUAUCUUCUUAUUAUGUGGUUGCAUCCAUGUGCUCCUUGAUCAAGAAACAAUUUGUGUAGAUUGUUGGAGAAUGGAAUCUCAUAUCAGGUAUAUGAUAAUAAAAUAUACAAUUAAUGUAUGAGAAAUUCGAUCCUUAA